rnacentral:tRNA from 1 species
UGGGGGAUCGUCUAACGGUAGGACUACUGGUUUUGGGCCAGUCUAUCGGGGUUCGAAUCCCUGUCCCCCAG